rnacentral:rRNA from 1 species
GACGAACGCUGGCGGCGUGCUUAACACAUGCAAGUCGAACGGAAAGGCCCUGCUUUUGUGGGGUGCUCGAGUGGCGAACGGGUGAGUAACACGUGAGUAACCUGCCCUUGACUUUGGGAUAACUUCAGGAAACUGGGGCUAAUACCGGAUAGGAGCUCCUGCUGCAUGGUGGGGGUUGGAAAGUUUCGGCGGUUGGGGAUGGACUCGCGGCUUAUCAGCUUGUUGGUGGGGUAGUGGCUUACCAAGGCUUUGACGGGUAGCCAGCCUGAGAGGGUGACCGGCCACAUUGGGACUGAGAUACGGCCCAGACUCCUACGGGAGGCAGCAGUGGGGAAUACUGCACAAUGGGCGGAAGCCUGAUGCAGCAACGCCGCGUGCGGGAUGACGGCCUUCGGGUUGUAAACCGCUUUCGCCUGUGACGAAGCGUGAGUGACGGUAAUGGGUAAAGAAGCACCGGCUAACUACGUG